CGGGGCGUAGCGCAGCUGGCUAGCGCGCUUGGUUUGGGACCAAGAAGUCGACAGUUCGAAUCUGUCCGCCCCGACCA
rnacentral:tRNA from 1 species